UGGGGGAUAGUAUAAUGGCAGUACAGCGGUCUCUGGAACCGUGAGUCUAGGUUCGAAUCCUAGUCCCCCAG
rnacentral:tRNA from 1 species